GUCGUCGUGGCCAAGCAGGUGAAGGCACCUCGCUGAUAACGAGGAGAUCGCUGGUUCGAACCCAGCCGACGACAC
rnacentral:tRNA from 1 species